AUUGAACGCUGGCGGCAUGCCUUACACAUGCAAGUCGAACGGUAACGCGGGGCAACCUGGCGACGAGUGGCGAACGGGUGAGUAAUACAUCGGAACGUGCCCAGUAGUGGGGGAUAGCCCGGCGAAAGCCGGAUUAAUACCGCAUACGACCUAAGGGUGAAAGCGGGGGAUCGCAAGACCUCGCGCUAUUGGAGCGGCCGAUGUCAGAUUAGCUAGUUGGUGGGGUAAAAGCCCACCAAGGCGACGAUCUGUAGCUGGUCUGAGAGGACGACCGGCCACACUGGGACUGAGACACGGCCCAGACUCCUACGGGAGGCAGCAGUGGGGGAUUUUGGACAAUGGGGGCAACCCUGAUCCAGCCAUGCCGCGUGCGGGAAGAAGGCCUUCGGGUUGUAAACCGCUUUUGUCAGGGAAGAAACGGUCUGCGCUAAUACCGCGGACUAAUGACGGUACCUGAAGAAUAAGCACCGGCUAACUACGUGCCAGCCGCCGCAGUAAAAC
rnacentral:rRNA from 1 species